UACGUAGGGGGCAAGCGUUGUCCGGAAUUAUUGGGCGUAAAGCGCGCGCAGGCGGUCAAUUAAGUCUGGUGUUUAAGGCUGUGGCUCAACCACAGUUCGCACUGGAAACUGGUUGACUUGAGUACAGAAGAGGAAAGUGGAAUUCCACGUGUAGCGGUGAAAUGCGUAGAGAUGUGGAGGAACACCAGUGGCGAAGGCGACUUUCUGGUCUGUAACUGACGCUGAGGCGCGAAAGCGUGGGGAGCAAACAGG
rnacentral:rRNA from 1 species